UACGUAGGCAGCGAGCGUUGUUCGGAGUUACUGGGCGUAAAGCGCACGUAGGCGGUUCGUUAUGUCGGAUGUGAAAGCCCUUGGCUUAACCGAGGAAGUGCAUCCGAAACUGGCGAGCUAGAGUACGAAAGAGGAUCGCGGAAUUCCCGGUGUAGAGGUGAAAUUCGUAGAUAUCGGGAGGAACACCGGUGGCGAAGGCGGCGAUCUGGGUCGAUACUGACGCUGAGGUGCGAAAGCGUGGGGAGCAAACAGG
rnacentral:rRNA from 1 species